AAAUUAAAAAUGAGUAGUAAAGAAAAGAAAAGUAAAUAAAAUAAAUGGAAACAAAAGUCAAAUAAUGACCUCAUAAUGAUGCAAUUAAAAUUACUAACCAAUAAAAAUAAGACAAACAUAUAUAAAAAGAUAAGAAGAAAAUAAAUAAAACAAAAUUGAGUUUCAUCUUCUUCCUUGGGUGUUUAGGCCGAACCACCAUGGGUAUAGAGAGCUCCUCCAUUUCUUCUUCUCAAGCUUAAUUCUCUCCAAUUUCCACCAUAAUUUCCUACCUUCAAAACAGAAAAAUUUAUCCUUGAAACUUGCUUAGCACUUUGGGAGCAAGAAGAAGAAGAGAAAUUAAAGUUGUGGGAGCUUGGGAAUUUCCAUAAGAGAGGUAUGUGCCAUGAAACCUUAAAAUUGUUAUUUGAAUCUUGCAAGUGAGUUGAUGGAAGUUGAAAUUUAAUCUAAAAGGAAAGGAAUCUAUGCUUAAGGAGGAAGUGGAAAUUUCGGUCCUUUAGAGAGGUUAAGGUUUUGAAGAAUUUGAUUAAAUUAAACUUGUAUAUUUAUGUUACUUAAAGCGUAUAUAUGAAUAGAAUUGAAAUUGAAUGAAUUUGCAUGAGAUUUGUAAUUUUAACAGAUUAGAGUUUAGCAAAAUUAGAGUUUUGCUCAUAAAAUGGUGUAUAAACAUUUUAAUGGUCAAUUAGUAGCCAUUUGGUUAGGUUUGAACAUCCUAUAAAGUGAAUUGAGGCAUUUGAUAAUGAACUGGUUAGGCUGCCUUGUGUAGUGAAUUCUGGACUCUUGGAGUCCAGUGUGUUUGGACAACACCAACUAGACUUGAGUAACUUCAAUUGGUGUAAGGCCAAUUGUAAGUGAAAAUUGACACAUAAUGUCACAUUUUUUGUGAAGAAACACUGCACAGAAAAUCAACAUAAGUUGCCUAAAAAUUGACUCAAUCUGGGUGACACACAAGCUGUCCCUGGAAAAUGACUAAAUGAACAGUGUUUGUUCAAAUGGUCAUAACUCAAUGUAGAAAUAUUCAAUUGAUCUGAAAUUUAUAUCAAUAAAAAGCUUAGACAAUUUCGAACAACUUUCAUGAAGAACACCA
rnacentral:misc_RNA from 1 species